CAGUCCUGUUCCUGCUGCUUUCUGGCAGGAAUAACUUUAGUUUGGAGCCUUGUAAAAGCUUUUUAAAAAUCCUGAUAUAUUGUGUCUGUGGGCAGCAGAUACUCUACCAUCUCACCAGGGCUGGAAAUCUGUGUCAUUAGUCUAUGGCGCCCAGGUUUUCCUGCAGAGCACCUUCUGUGGAUGGGAGUUAUACCAUCAGUCCUUUGGCAUCACGGCUGUUUGCAUGACAGGUUGCAUACCUUGGCCAGCAGCACUGCAAUUUCAUGUUAGAGUUACUUCAGAGCACUUGGGACGUUUCAGAUGUGCCUAACUGAGACUCUCGUCAUUGCUCUGAGCCCGGAGAACAACUUUACCCUAAUGUAAACAUGUUAUUGGCAGUGUUUCAGUUACCUUUGGCUGUCUAAAAUGAUUCUAGAUAUUUGAAGUUAUGAAUCUGAGACAUCCUCAGUGGGCCAGAAGAGAUGAUACAGAGCUGGGGGGAAACCAGGACCUUUGAGACCUACUGCUGGAGGCUGGAUAGAGUACUCCAGAGCACUUCAGAGGGCAUCAGAUGCUUAUGUGUGGAAAGCUGAAUCAAGCUCCUGACACUAGCAGCCUGUUCAGUGCUAAUCAAGGAAAUAAACUACAUCUGAUCUUCCCUGCCACAGCCCACUGCAUGUACAUCUAUACCUGUAGACAAGGCUAUAUGAUAAACAAGUCUUUUUUUAUAGAGAUAGUCUUAGCAUGAGACUUUUUGGGGUAUCCUUGGCUGAGUGCAAAACAAGAAAGACUGGUGGGGUGAUUGGCAGAGAUUGGAAAAGCCGAAUACAGACUUCAGGGGGAAAAAAGGUAACCAAAACAGAAUGGCAACUGAAGCAUUUUUUAAAUGUUUAGCUUUUGGGAUAAUUUUUAUCAUUUCCCUAAUGGCCGUUUACACUGCCAAAAUUACUACUAUCCACUACAGUAUUAAUUCCCACAGAUAAACAAAAAUUCUACAAAGACAGAGCUACAUUAAUGCUUUGAGUAGGGUAAACCCUACUGUGAAUUUUUAACUUAUGGACAUGUAAGUUACUGUACUUUUUCUAGGAACUGAACUGUUAAAAGACAUUGUCCGUAGGCACUUCCUUGUCAUUGGCUUAGAUCACAAGAGAAGUGAAAUAUCCUAGAAGGAAGAUAUGUUGUGGGUUUUUUCUUUUUAAUUGUGGUCAGCUUGUGAUACUUUGUAGCAUUGAGCUUUUCCCUCCUUUUCCCAACCCCCUAAAUUGUCAUUGACAUUUCAGUCAAAUAAUUGAAAUUAACACACCUUUAGGCUUAUAUUCAGGUUUGCUAUCUAUUCUGAGUAGCCACUGAUCUCAAGGAAGGAUUUUUCUUCAUAAUUAUUCAGGCCCUAAUAGAAACUCUUUACAUAGAUGAUAACCGUAGCUCGUGCUCUUACACAGGCAGAAUUGAAACUUAGGAAAUGGAAGAAAGACUGUAUGGCGUACACGGGAACAGUGUUAGAGGUGAGUGUAUGAGAGGCAGUUAAUGUAGUUCGUUGGGACUUAUUCUACAGGGUGCCUGCUCCAAUAAGGGUUCAAUGUAAAACAGUGUACAUGGUGUCUCAGUCAUGCAGGAUGCUUAUCUAACCCAGAAAUGCCUGUGACCAAACGAAUCCCCUGAUUUGAAAUCUUUCUAUUUAAUGCCCAUAUGUUAUAUGGGGUCAGGGUGACAGAAUGUAUUUAAAGCCUAGAAUAAAA